AAGUCUCUCGGCUCACUAACUUGAUGAUAUUUUUCACUCACUAAGCUAAUAGUCGACUAAUUGGCUUAGUCUUAGUUGGAAAUUUAUGUUUAGCUAGCUGACUGACUAAAGGCAAAAAGGUGUAUUGUUUUGACUUUAUGACAAAAUUUUAUUACUAGAAAUUGAUAUUACCAAUCAUAGUUCAACCAAUCAUACCAAACAAAUUCAGAAUUGUCAUGAUUGCAAAGAAUUUUCUUCAAUUUUUUAGGAGUGAGCUGUGACCUUUUUUGGUUAGUGUCAAACCAACUAUUGAAAACACUCGAACUUGAGUUCGAAAUUCAAAUUUCAGUCAUUUUAGCGAGCUUUUAGUUGACUCACUAAAGCUGGCUUAGUGGUGAAAAAAUUGGCUAAAACUAAAGCCAGGCUAUAACCGGCUCACUCACUCACUAAGUUCACUAGCUUCAGUAUCUAGUAUGGGUUUCAAUAAACGGUUUUUUUAUUGUAAUAUUUUUCAUAAAUUGUGAUUCGCCUUUCCAAUUGAAUGUUCAACUAUUUUUGUGUUUUUAAAUUGUAAGACUUAUCGUCAACCUGGAUUGAAACGGUCUUUUGGUUAGAUGAUGAACGAACAAGAAUAUUGUUUGAAAUUUUGAAGCAAAGGUCCAGAUCGAAUUAGCCAGACUUUGAAAUCCGAUGGAUUUUAUCGAGAGGAAAUUUUAUUGGUUAGAGAUCAAUUUAUGGUCGGAAUAUGGCUUAUCUUGAAAAGUUUGGAUCUAAAUUAUUUACGCAAAUUUUGGUCAAGUGUUUUACUUUUUUACACCUGUGAUCACAAUUUACUGGCAAUGAAGCUUUCAAUUUCGACUUCAAUUCUAGGAUUAUGGCCACAUCGAAUUGGUUGGAGCAACUGACUGUGAGAACUCAUUGAGUCAACCUGACUAUAGCAAAAUAGAUCCAUCAUUCUCAAUCCUUACUGCUAUUAAACUUUGAUGAGCUGAUGAGAUGGAUUUUUAGCUCAAAAUGAGCUCUAAUUGAAAAGGGAUAAAUUCAUGCGUAUCUUGAUGUUUACAGGUCUUCACACCAGAUUAUCCAAGUUUCUGACAAUACUUCAGUAAUAUACUGAAUUUGCCUUUUCUUCAUCGGAACGAAGUCCAUUUCAUUUCAACCAAUUUUGGGACUUUUCAACCACCAUGGAUUAUUUAAAUAUGAUUAUUCCCUUUCCCAGAGUUAUAACCAUUUCUUGGAUUUUAUACAGAUACAAAUUGAGUUAAAAUCGUUCGCUAAAAAAGGAAUAAGAUUUUACCGCUUCAGUCUAUUUAGAGCCAUUAUUUCACAUUUUUUGUGAAACCUCACUAAUCUUUGCUCAAAAUAUCCAAGACGUUGUUGGCAGUCGCAAUUUCACGGACCGAUCAAAGUGUGUAAUUGUAACAACUUUAAUUAAUCACCCCACAGUUGAUGAAACUCAACUAAACAAUAAGGCCAUCUUUAGCUGUUAUCCUUAUUUUAACCGAUCUUUGUACCUUUUGUAUAUUUGCGUGUUUGUUUGUUUACCCUUUAGAAAGGCGAUCGUCCCAUUUUAAAGCCACCCAAGUUGAGUGAAUGAACAAACCCAUUGGAAUACUUAUCUUUCUUUCUGUUCAUUUAUACAAAUAGUUAAUCCUAUUCAUUGAUUUUCAAUUUGUAUUUAAACAAUUUAUCAAAACAAUCAGCAAUCACUUGUUUUGUUGAAAAAAAAUAUAUAUUUGUUUGUCUAUUGGUUUAAGCUUAAGUAGCAUACUUUAUAACACCUUUAACAAAAGGAUAACCAAUUCUUAACACACAUUUUACUCGAUAAUAAUAACAAUAAUGAUGAAAAAGAGAAGAGAAGAGAAGAGAAAUUUUCUAUUCUUCAAUAUGCCAGCCUUUUCUUGUUCAUGUUGAUGUUGUUGAUGAUGAUGUUGAUUGUAAAGGGUUGUUAAGAUGCUUUCAUUUGACCCCUUGCGGUGAGUCUAUUGUUGGUUUGCUUUAAAAAAGGAUUGUCUUUCAUUGUGUUACUGUCUUGAUUGUUCAUUGAUUAAAUUGAAUUAACUCAAUACCAAACCCAAUAACUUUUGCUACAACAAGUUAAGAAAAUGAAAGAAAAGAAAAAAAAGAAACGAAACUCUUUGUUAUUGAUAUUGGACUAUUUAUCCUUUAACCUCUUCUGCAUCUUUCUUGACCUCACCUUGAGUAUCAGGUCAACUUUCAUCAUUUCAAUCUUUCACACAAUUCUUGAUCCAAAUGGAUUGACACUUAACAAUAUUUGCCAAUCUUUUCUUACCUUCCUCUUGCCUUCAUUAUUAUUCAUUAAACAAUCCAAAAGGCACUUUAAUCCAAACCUGGAUUUAACAAGAUUAACUUGGAUUAGAUUGGCAAAAAUGUGUGAAACUAAAUGUUAACAAUCUUGUAAAGCAACUGUAACUUAAGG